UACGAAGGGGGCUAGCGUUGCUCGGAAUUACUGGGCGUAAAGGGCGCGUAGGCGGAUAGUUUAGUCAGAGGUGAAAGCCCAGGGCUCAACCUUGGAAUUGCCUUUGAUACUGGCUGUCUUGAGUUCGGGAGAGGUGAGUGGAAUGCCGAGUGUAGAGGUGAAAUUCGUAGAUAUUCGGCGGAACACCAGUGGCGAAGGCGACUCACUGGCCCGAUACUGACGCUGAGGCACGAAAGCGUGGGGAGCAAACAGG
rnacentral:rRNA from 1 species